rnacentral:rRNA from 1 species
UUGGAGGGCAAGUCUGGUGCCAGCAGCCGCGGUAAUUCCAGYUCCAAUAGCGUAUAUUAAAGUUGUUGCAGUUAAAAAGCUCGUAGUUGAAUUUCGGGAUCAAUUUGUCGGUCGUGCCUCGGUACGUACUGGUAUUAUUGGUUUCUACCUUCUGAAGAACCUUGAUGUCAUUAAUUUGGUGUCUUGGGGAAUCAGGACUGUUACUUUGAAAAAAUUAGAGUGUUUAAAGCAAGCAUACGCUUGAAUACAUUAGCAUGGAAUAAUGAAAUAGGACGUUUGMUUCUAUUUUGUUGGUUUCUAGGAUCGACGUAAUGAUUAAUAGGGAUAGUUGGGGGCAUUAGUAUUCAAUUGUCAGAGGUGAAAUUCUUGGAUUUAUUGAAGACUAACUACUGCGAAAGCAUUUGCCAAGGAUGUUUUCAUUAAUCAAGAACGAAAGUUAGGGGAUCGAAGACGAUCAGAUACCGUCGUAGUCUUAACCAUAAACUAUGCCGACUAGGGAUCGGAUGAUGUUAAUUUUUUAAUGAUUCAUUSGGCGCCUUACGGGAAACA